GGGGAUAGUGAUGCUGAGGUCACUAAUCACUCACAAAAUGGUGGCUUAAACAAAUGUUCCUAUGGGACACAGAGUCUUUUUCUCUGUGCUUGAUACUCUUUUUCUCAAUAAUAAAGAGACAUAUGCUUUUUUGUUGUACCAAAUUCAAUUCUACUUUCAUUUUGAGAUGCUGUCCCCUACUGCUUGGAUGGAUACGUAUACAUAUACAUAUAUAGUCGUAGAUGAAAAAAAGGAUAUAAUAAAAAAUAUACUCCAUCAUGUAUUGACCUUUUUUUUCUUGUUCUUUUUUAUGAAUGGAAAAAGGAACUAAUCAAAGGAAAAGGAUACUUCAAUAUCAUGAUGAUCAACCAUGUGACAAACAUCCCAAUAAUGAAGUGCUUCGUAUGAUUGUUAUUUGAUUCUUCUUGGGCUCUUCUACUAUGUCUACACUUGGUUUUGAGAUUUUUGUUCUCAUUGUAAACCCUUUAUCACCAAUCAUUAACAAAAAAGAAGAAAGGGGAAAAAAAGUGUAUUUUCCCUACAACAACAACAGUAAUAAUAAGAGUAAAUCUUAUAUAUACUAACAGUGUAUGCACCGGCCAUCACUGUUAGAUUCAUGACAUUUGUGCAAAAGUUGAGUUUCAAAUUCAAAUUUUGUAUAAUUGUCAUUCAUCCGACGUUAACGGUGAUUAAUCCUAAUAAUAAUAAUAGUUCAGAAGCCGAGUUAGGAGGAGUCUAUAUUGGUGGAGUUUUUGGAGUCUAAACUCCGCUUUUCAAAUAACACUAAUAUUGUUUGAACAUUUCAAACUGUUAACUACAUGCUUAAUUAGUAAUUAAGAAAAUUGUUAUGGCCCUUGAGCUAGUGAAUCAUUGAUUGGAUAACUGUUGUGAUCAAUAGUGAUGGAAUUCAAGAAGUCAACUAAUAAAGUCUCCAUCCCCAAAAUCCAAUAUAAAAACAAAUGAAAACUUACUAUCCCACUUUUAUUAUUACCCAUUUUCUUAGAAAUUUCAGUUUUAUUAUACAUGCACUCAGCUUUAUGUUUAAUUUUUGAAGAUCACAUUUGACCCAAAAAAAAAAGAAAAAGAAAAAGAAAAAGAGAUGCAGAAAAUUUACCUUGAGCGUAAAAAUGGAGUCCGCCAUAACAGUACGAACUUCUCCGCAUCAAGCAUAUUCUUUAGUCUAAUUAUUGGCCGAAAGAAUGAAAGAGUAGCAAGAAAUAGCCAGGUAGGUUGUGGCUGUCUAAUUAUAGCAAGCAAGGUUGUUAAACGAAGUCUAAUCAAAUAAUUAGGCACCUAAACACACCAUUGCUUGCACCCUCGGAAUCGACAGAACCUGCCUCCAUUAGCCGUUCCAAAGGAAAUCGACAAGGUUUAAUUAAUUAGGAGCUUUGCGUGUCAUUUGGACGUGUACGCUGUACAUAACCAACCUCUCAAUUUGAUCAGUAAUUUACACUAUUAGCAUGAAUAAUACAAAAAAAAAAUUGUUUUUUUUUUUUAAUAAUGGACAUGAUUAAUGGGGCUUGUUAGCAUAAACAAAGGAAAGUAACUACUCCCAUCACAAUUAACAGAAAAGCAAGAAAUCAAAAUUGACCCGAAAGUGUAAACUAAUAAGCAAACUCAAUUUUUGAUUUAAUAUGAACAUGGCUUUACAGAUUUUUUGGAUUCUUGUUUUGCAAUUAAUAUACAGUUGCAAUUGUGACCACACAAGAAAAAGAUGCAAUUAAUGUAUUUUUUUUUUUUUAAGUUAGUGACUGUAGACAAAAGGGCAGGGGCAUGAAUUUUUUUUUUUUUUUUUUUUAGAGCUAGCUAAGCUAGUACCACUCCCAUAAGAAUGGCUCUUCAAGCCGGAAUACUGGCUCGGCUGCUGGAGCCGGAUGCAGCUGCGGCCACCACGAUGAUGAACCGUGGAAGCAAUUAAAUCCAUCCAGAUGGUCUGUGGCACCUGUGACAUCAAAGGAAAGAUCGGGCAGGUCAAAAAAUGUGUCAUCAAUAUCAUCGUCUGUGGAUGGAGAAUUUGAUGAUUCUUGCAUGUUGUGCAAGGAAAAAUCAGUUGAUGAAUGACAGUUAGUCAGCUCGGCUUGGAUUGGCUCGGCUUCGGCUCCUCCGCCGUUUUCACCUGGAAAUGUAGCGGCUGCAGCCUUGGCAGCGGCAGCUUGGAUGUCCUUAGGUGAAGUGGUGGCGGGACGGGGAAGUUCAUGAGCCAAAUGAGGGAAGUUGAGAUAAGCCGAGUGGCCUUUGAUUGCUAGAGCUGCUACAUCAUGGGCUCUAGCCGCCAUUUCAGCCGUGGGAUAUGUUCCGAGCCAUAUUCUUGAUUUCUUCCUUGGCUCCCGAAUUUCAGACACCCAUUUGCCCCAGUUGCGCUUGCGAACUCCCCUGUAGGUCGGAUGCUUCUCAUCGUCUCCAUUUUUAUGCUUCUUCCUAGGCUGAUUUUCAUUGCCAUUGAUCUUCGCCACUUGUUGCAGUUCUUGAGAGCUCUCUUGGGCUUUGCCGGCUUUUGCAGUUCUAGUGGAAGUAGUGGCCUUUGUGCUUUGGUUGGAGGAGGAGGAGGACGACGAAGUUGAAGUUGUUGAAGGUGAAUUUAAGGCAUUGGAAGUGGUAGAAAAUGAGGAGGAAGAGGAAGUGGUGGUGGUGGUAGAAGAUGAAGAAAGGUUGCUGUCGUGAUUAGCUAGACUCCCAAUGUUGAUUUGUUUGCCCAUGAUUAUAAGCGGGGGCGUUGUGCUUGCUGCUAAGCUAAGCAUAGAGAGAAGAAUGUGAGUGUUGUGGGGGUACCUAAAAUAGGGAGCUUGAGGCCUCUAGGAUUCUAGCACAAAUUGCUGUUGAUUUAAAUAAUGCAAAAAUGAGCGAAAUGAAAUUUCCAAAAAUUAAAAAAAAAAAAAAAAAAAGAAACGAAGGGCAUGGGACCUUAGCAAAAGGGGACUACAGUUCAGCUAUUCUGUAGGCCAUGUGGCAAUUUCAUUAAUUUAUGGUCUUUGCCCAUUUCGAGAGCAUUUACUGACAUGCAUUUCACCGAGGCAGGAUUGCAGGAACUUCUUGUUUUGGACCUCUCCUUCCUCAGCAUCAUCACUAGUAGCAGUGCGUAAAAUUCUAACCCAAAAAAAAAAAAAACAAAUGGAAAUUCAGUUAGGAUCCGAAUCCACGCUAAUCCGAAAUAUAAAGGACUAACCAUGUUAAAAGUUGUACCAUUUGAUAUGAAUGAUCAAAAAUCCAUGUCAAUAUAAUGCUGUUUAGCCUUAUUUUUGGCCCCGUUUAGAGUUGCACUGCGUUUACAAAGAAAAGCGCUUUUAAGUACUAAAACCAUUUUUACGAUUCUUGACCACUAAUUUCUUGUAGUUUAAGGAGUUCAAUUUUUUGAUAACUUAAAAAUACUUUUGUUUAAACGCACUUAUGUGAGAAGCAUUUCUUUAUAAAUUAUCGCAACUCAAUACUAGAGCUUUAUUCGAAAUGAUCAAGAAUUAAUGUCAAUAGUGCUGUUUAGGGUGCGUUUGAUAAAAUUGAAAUUUGAAAACUAAAAUCUAAAUUCAUUAAAUUAUUGAAUUGUUAAUUGCUAAAUUUGAUACAUUUGAGCAUAUAUCACAUUAUAUGAUAAGUGAAUAAUUUAUCAUGUAUUUUUAGGAGUAAGAUAUUCAGUGCCACUUAAUUAACUAAGAUAUUCAAUUUUUUUAUUAUCAAAUGCGUCUGAACAUGUUAAGAUCUGAAUUUAUUAAAUUUAAGUGUUGAAUUGUACUACGAAUCAUCUUAGAAACCUCUCAUGAGAUUUCUAACAAUUUCACUCAGCUCCUUUCAGGUUUGAAUAAUUGCACCAACUUUCGUUCAUGUAGUAAAAUGAUUAUAAUAUCUUUCACUUAUAAAUAAUUUCUACAAAAAAAAAAACCCUACAACUAUAACUAAGCUUUCAUUCUAAAGCAACAAUUACCACACAAAAUAAACUCUUAUUCUCUCUCUCCAACUCUCGCUCCUACCUUCUUUCUGGUACACUUUAUAAUCCACUAUUUUUCCAUAAUUGCCAUCUACAUAAUCAUCUAAUACAUCUCGAAUCCUCAUUAUUAUGGAAAUAGACACUCUCUUCCUUUUUUUGUUUUCCUUUUUUUUUCUGUAAGUAGUAUUAAAUUGAAAUUGUCAAAUGAUAAGUUGCCGGAUCAGAUUUGUUGUCAAACUAACUGAAAGUGAAAUGGAUGACGGUAAUACAAAGUGUAGACAAGAAAAUAUAAGUGAUAGCUAAAAAAGGAACAUGGAUUUGGGAAGGUUACGUUAUUACGCCAAUUGUGUAAAAAAAAAAAAUUGGGAUAUAAAAAUUGCAAUCAAAUUUGCCUAAAGACAUGGGAUAUGAUCUCUAGCGUUGCUUUUGGUUACUCUGUGUUAGUAUUCUUGGUGGGUUAAAUUAUUUUAACAUCAACAAGAUUGCAACCCUUUAAAUUGAGUUUGGAGAGUGACAUUGGUCAAUUCAAACAAUGAAUUUAGGCAAAAAAAAAAAAAAAAAAGAGAGAGAGACUAAAGAUUAGGUUGAAUGCAAACUUUAAUUGUGACAGUUGAUUUACAUGGGAAAUGUUGGGAGGUAUUAGUAGCCUGUCAAAAUUGUGAAAAUAUGAAAAUUAAAUUGAAAUGAUUUAUUGAAUUCAUUAGAGUGGUGAUUAUGUUGUUUAUGAUAGUUGCAACGGGGAGGAAAUUUAUUAGAGCGUUUUUCCCCCUUCUAAAUAACAAAGGGAUAAUUUAGGAUUUUUUAGAAUAAAUUUAGCAUACUAGGUCUAUAUUAUCAUUGAAACGCUAAUCAUAAGGGAGGUAAGUGUAAUUUUUUAAACUAGAAAGAAGCUUUCUAAAGUAGUUAGAAAUCGCAAGGCAGGUUUGUGAAAUUAUCCCAUUGUAUUGUCAAAUAAGGUCUUAGUCUUAUUUUACGCUGUCCAUGUUAACAUUGUCGAGGUAACGGUACUGUGAUGACGAUGUGUUCUUCAAAUUUCACGUGUAUGCAAAUUUUGGCUUCGCUUUGGGGGUAGAUGAUAGCCGUAGGCCCUUCAUUUUGAGCCCUUUGUUUUGGCAAUCUAAUAUGGGGUGAGGACGCUUGUGGGGUUGUUAAUGCCGCCGUCCAUUGGAAUUUCCAUCCCUCAGCGGUACACGCAAUGGUCUGCAUUAAAUUUUGGGUUUUGGUAGGCAUUCAACGGCUUUGUCAAUUUCUAUUUACAUCAAUGCACCAUUAGUCGUAAAAAUAGAAAGCCAAUAAGUCAAAAAAAAAAAACCUUCCUCAAUUCAAAACUUCGCAAUCUGAGACGUACUUUUGCUUCUUAUGUCUGAGUUGUCAUAGCAUUUCUUAAAUUUUGAAGCUAUUUUUUUCUUUAAAAUGCUAGAAAAUUAAAUCUUCGAGAAUUAUCAUGUUGAAUCUAAAUAACGGUAGAAGUAUUUAGACGGUGCUGUCACUUCCCAUGACGAGCGCUCAAUAUGAUGCACGUUUUUACUGAGGCAUUGUCGUAACGCCUUCAAUUUGUUUUAGGGGAACUUUUUGGAAUAGGCUAACUGUGUAGCAUGAUAGGAGACAGGUACAUGAUAACUUUUUGAAAUAUGCACGUUCACUAAAAAGUUAUUUACAUAGAAGCGUCAAAAUAAGUGACCGAGUAGGUUUUGACGGAUCAUAAUUAGGUAACGAGUAUAAUUGAAUUAAUUUAUUUAAAUAAAUGAAUAUUUAUUUAUAGCCAUUUAAUAAAUGGAUACGGACAUAUCUAAUUGUGAGUCACUUAAAAUUUUAAUUAUUUUUUUUUCUAUUUUUUAGCAUAUUAUUUGACAAAAAAUAGCAGUACUUUAUUGUUCUUAGAUUGGUAAGAAAAUUCAAAUUUGUUUGCUUAACGUUCACUAAAAGUUGAGUUUAAAUUUAUAAUUAUUUUUAAAUUGAUAUAAAUGGGUGAGUCGAGUUAACCCACAACCCAUCAAUUAUAUGGAUUUUAUUGGAUACCCAUUUCGACCAUUUGAAAAUUAAUGAACUGGUUUGGGCGGGUAAUUGGUGGGCGAAUUUGGACGGAUCAACACAAUUGAAUUGUGAUUGACACCUCUAGUUACCGUUACCUGUGAUUGACACCUCUAAUUGAAUUGUGAAAGAAAGAAAAAAAAAAUCAUAGAGAAGAGCACGAGUCUUUCCUCUUUUACUUAAUUUGCUUCUUCCGGUUAAUCUCCUUCAUUCUUCCUCAAAUCAAUGCUACCAUUUCUGCUUAUCAGUUGGAGAAGACAAAGAUACAUCGAAUAAAGACCGUUCAAACUAAAUUUUCCAUUCAACUUGUUGAAUUUUAGGUGGGGUGCAAAAAAGACAAGAACACGCCUUCUUCAAUUAAAAAUGCAUGAACGUGUGCAUGCGAAAAAAAGAAGUUGGUAAAUUCAUCUUCGACGCAAAAAAGGGUGCUGCUGCAAAAUAAUUUUCAUGUGGUUUUUGUCACCAAGGAAGAUGACAACAUUGAAUCAACCCAGGCACACAUGAGCCCUGACAGGGAAAUAAUAAUAAUGUACUGUGUUAUCGUUGUUUUCUCUCUCUCUCUCUCGGAUCUUUGUACAGUGUUUUGGUUAUUGAAGACCAGGACUUAUGCCGCUAGUAGUUCUUCUUCUUGUUACAAUUUUCAAGAAAUCUGUAAAAUUAUACUGUACUGCUACUACUAGUAGAGUCGGUGGAUCCGGAAAACAUUCUACAUCCGAAAUUUGUAUAUAGUAUAUAGUAUAUACUGCUGGGGUUACAGUACACAUGGGUAACAUGCUAGUGGCCCCAUGCUGGUUUAAAAAGAAGGGUCGGCCUACCGAAGAUUAUUUGACUGUUUUUCAUCGAAAAAUUAUGUCGUUUUUCGUAAUUAUAUUUUUUUAUUAUUUUUUUUUCUCACAUACAUCAAAUCGUUACAGUAAAUUUUUCAUGAAAAAUACAAUCCAAACACGACGCGUUUGCUGGCCAAGUAGUCAAUUUGUCAAGUGAUGUUUUUCUUUUUACUUCAUCCCUGGCGGGGUGACACUUUGCAGAGAUGGAAUUGGUGGAACUUUUCCCCUUUUCCUUGAGCUAUGAAUCCCUCUUGUGUGGUGAAUGUGAUGUUGACGAGUGCUAAUGAAUCCACUAAUAAAUCAAUCAUGAGAUUAGUGUUUAAUGACUAUACUACUACAAUUGUGAGCGUCGAUAGCGUGGCGCUUUUUCUUUUCAUGGUACACUGCUACUUUCUUUUGAUAGAAAGAUCGGAAAUUUUUUAUUUAUAUCAGCUUCAAGAGCAGAAAUAACAAAAUAAGGUAGAGAGUCAUUUCAUGUACAAGAAAUAUGGAAUUGAUAAUGCAUGUUUAGUUAAAAGGCGAGCAAUUUUAUUGUUAUUUCUAAAAAAAAAGCGGAGAAAUUAUGCAGGUGAGAAAUGUCAUCUCCAAUAAGAAUACCAGAACGAGAAUCAUAUGGUUCAAAACUUUCAAUCAUCUCGACGACGCUUUGAGAGUCAACUUCAAGAACAACCGGUUGCAGAUUCAUGGUACAGUUCUUUUAUCAAGCAAAAAUUGCUUUGAUCACUCUAAUUCUAAUUUUCGUACAAUAUGUUACUGAAAAAAAAACACACACACACAUUCUUAUACGCUAAAAUACACUAAUUUUACAAGUACAAAUAAUUAACCUACUAAUUGGAGGCAUGCCGCCAAUCGAUGUUUUUCUUUUUACUUAAUUCUUGCGUGACAAUUUGCAGUUUUAGAAUUGGUGGAAUUUUUUUUUUUGCUUUUUUACCUCGAGAGAUAUUAAUCCUUCUUGUUUGGUGAUGCUGAGGAGUACUAAUGAACCCAAUAAUAAACUAAUCAUGAGAUUAGUGCAAACUUUGUUUAAUCAGUGUGUUAAUAAUUUUCGCUUAUAUCAUAAAUAUAUUUUUUUCAAUCACCAUUUUUAUCUUUUCAAAUUCCAACCACUCUUUCUUCCCACAUACAUCAUAUCACAUAGAGUGGUACAAUAUUUUUUUUUUCAAAUAAUUCUCUAUCCAAGCGUAUUACAAUUGUGAAAAUUUCUUUCUUGACAUCAUUUACUGUUAUAAUUAAAAACAGUUAAAUCGUUUGAAUUCUAAUUUUCAUGCAAUAUGUUAGUGAAAAAGACUUUCCAUUAUUAUAAAAUGCAUAAAUUUUUCUGGCAAAGCGGUUGACCUAGUGGAUAAAGAGUUAAUUUGUCAACGGUUGAUUUUCGUUAUACCUAAUUAUUGGGUGACACUUGGAAGUGUUAAGAGUUGGUGCAGCAUUUUGUUUUUCUUCCAUAAGAUACGGUGAUGUUGACGAGUAGUGAUGGACCCAAUAAUAAGUUAAUCAUGGGAUUAGUGCUAAACUAUUUGAUUGAUGUGGUUUAUUUGGUGGCUGGAAUCAUGAUCCUAGUGUUUCUUUUCAAUCACCAGUGAGAUAAAUGGACUAGCCUAUGAUUAUUUUACUUGGCUGUCAUUUAAUUUCCAUCAACUCAAACGUGAGCAAGGAAAGAUUGUAUUAGCCCUUCUAGAACUUAGCCUUCUGUUGAUUCAUUAUUCUUUUGAGAAGAACAAUCAAAAGUAUACUCCUUGAGCUGUUGACACGACCAAAUUGUUACUUUCAAGGCACUGAUUUUCACGAGCACCCUGAUCUGGACGGAACGGUUGGUGGCGGUUUUGUGUAGUUUGCACAGUAUAUAAUUUUUUUUGCAUACGACGUAACUUUAUUUGGAUCAUGCAUAAUUUUAGAAUAAAUUUUUGUAAAUUCCGCACAUAUUAUCAAAAUUGAGAUACAAGAAAUGAUUUGAACUGUAUAAAUUUUUUUGAUCAAAUCAUGAUCGCGAACUGUCUGAAACGAUUGUCUCUUACAACCAUCCCGCCCCUCCUCCUCCGAUGGAGACACCUCGUCUAAAAUUUAUUCUUGUAAAAGUUAAAAAGUAGUGCCCACCACCUAUACAUAGAGACAAGUUAGGUAUUAGGGUAAAAUACUUUAAAAAGUAAAAGUAACUCAAAAAGUGUGAAGUAAUGAAGUCUUAUCGAGCAUUAAUGACCAGAAGUCGUUUGAUCAAAUAAUAUAGGAGUUCUAUUUAAUUUGCAUUACCAUUUAGUUGGGAGAAUAGUAGGAUUUUAUUUUAAAUUUUUUUUCUAAUAAGAGAGGGAUGUAAUUUAUGAAACAGGAAAGGGGCAGGAAUUCAGAACUGCAGGACCUCUACCUAAGAGAACAAUAGGUUUGGUCUGAUGGAAAAUUACUAAGUUAUUUUUUCACCAAAUUUUUGCACUAUAAAAAGGAAAAACAAAAUCAGCUCUAGUCACCUAUGAGAACUUUUUUAGAGAUUCUAGAGAGAGGGGGUUUGCGUUGUAUGAUAAGCGAGAAAAGAGCAUAUGAAUUGCGAAGUUUUGAAUUCAAAACCUCAUACUUGAAAAAAGAAAUUCUCUUCUUAUUAGUUUAUGAAUUGCUAUUAUUUAUAGGAGUUUGCCAUAUAUUUAAUCCAAGAACUGGCGGACCUAUAAAAACAUAAUCGUCACUUGAUUACUUGUGAGCAUAACGGUAAGUUGAUCCUCGCCUGCGAUUAAUUUAUGGUAGACUUGGAAUUUUUUUAGAGUCAAAAGCUUAACUUCUGUAUUACAUUUUUCUUUAGACAUCUCUUCUUCCUUUUUCUUUUUCCUUUUCUCUUCCUUUCCCUUUAGACAUCUUUUGACAGAUAAAAAGGUACAACAAUAUAUAUUGUCUUGUACGUCGUAUCUUAUCAAAUUUUAUGAGAAAUUUGGUGCCUUACAUUGUCUUGUAGGUCAUAUCUUAUCAAAUUUGUGAGAAAUGUGUGUUUGGGUUGCAAUUUUCUAAAGAAAAAUUGCUAUAUUUUUCGUGGACACAUUUUCCGAUCACCUUUUUACCUUGCAUUGAUCAAAUCGCUACAGUAAUUUUUUCAUAAAAAGUCUAAAUGUAGAAAAAUACAAUCCAAACAAAACUAGAUGUCUUGUACAUGUGGUUGGGGCCCAAAUAUCGUAGAUGGGUCUCUUUAAUUUGUUCAACUAAUUAAACUUUUGUCCCAGUUUUUGCAUCCAAAAGACUUCACCUUGAGUGUUUUAGCUGAAAAAUAAUUCUGAGACUUCAACUGCACCAAAUUAAUAUGGCUCUUCACUUUGCAUUCCUCCACAUUUAUUAAUUUAUACACACUGCUAAAUCAUAAACUUUCCACCCAUGCAAUCUCCACUCCCAACUAGAUUUUUUUUUUUUUUUUCAUUUUCCUGAACUAGACCUUUACCACUUAGUAAGUUUUUUUUUUACAUUGUCAGUGUGCAUUUUUUUUUUAAACUAGCCGGUUUAAAUCAUUGUCACAUAAUAUAAAUUCAAAUCAUGGAAAACAAAUCACUACACUACAUCAUUAUUAGUGUAUAAAAAUUUAAUCCCUUUAACUUUUAUCCCGUUAUGAUGAUCUUGACAGUGUCUCUGUUUUUUAAUUCUUCAUAUUCGGUGUCAACGCAUUUUUGUCUCCAAAAUCAGCUGGCUAUUUGAAAAUGUAUAGUAUCCUUGUAAAUUGAGCAAGUCAGAGGGGAAAAUUGAUCGGGCCGAAGCAUGAAGAACUAAAUUGGAACAAGUCCAAGAGGAUAAAUCUUCAAAACCUGCGACUAUCCACAGCUUGAUCAACCCAACAAUGGCAAUUAUUGGAGUGUCAAUAUAUCCCAAUUAAUGGGGUGUCCCAAAUAAAUAAGGUGCUGUCCCAAUUCUGUCAUGUUCCAACUUCCAAAUCUGCUAUAAAUAUCCCCUUUUUUCUAGGGCAAUAAGCCUCGCACUUGUCAUUCUGUGAUGCAUCUUGUGUGGUCCUUUCAGCUAGAGAAUGCAACAAUUAGCCCCUACUUCUUUCUUCUCUUGUCUUGAGUUUGUACAGCCAUAUAUAUAUACAUUCAUUCACUAAUGGUACUUAGAAUAGACUAAAAACACCGUUAAACUUUUCCUAUUUUAUUCACUUUAAUUACUAGUAAACUGGGAAUCUCUCCCAUGCUGCGUUGCAAGAGCUAUUGAGUAUUAAUCCAUUCCUAGGAAACAUAUCUUUCAAAGUUGGAAUUUAAUGCCACUAUUUUAUCUAACAAUGACCCUUUUUUCUUUUCUUUGACUCUUCUUAGCCGGGUAAAACUAAGGUACUACUAGUAGGCCAAAGCAUAAAUGCCAGCGUUGGAUGGGUUCUUAUUUGCCAAAAGAAAAAACAAAAUGUACUAUAUCAUUGCAAUUUCAAUACGUACCUUUUUAAUAUUUCACCAAUAGCACGUUACGAAAAAUGUCACAGUAAUUUUUUUUUUUUUUUAAAGUCGUUCUAAAUAAUCUACUAUUCAAACACCUAGUUAAUUAAUGAAGCUUAGAGGGCAUCCCUAAACAUUUUGCGACUUGGAAGGUAAAAACUGAUCAACUCUGCUGGUAACUAGACCUGAAAUUAGCAUGUAUAAACAUGCCCAUGAGAUUGUUUUGAACUCUUGCUUUGAGUUGGUGCCAAGCACUAAAUAGAAUGAUUUGUGUCCAGCAGUUUUUGAUUUGAUAUCAGGGAGGAAUAACUCCAUUUCCCCCAUGUAUACUCACCUGCAUUGCAAUUUGCAAAGAAGAGUACUUUCCAAAAUGGGGUCCUUAGUGGUUGGGAUAAAAUAAGAGUGGGCAUGCAUGGGACUUUGCUGUCUCAUGCACCUAAAUUAUGGGUGUUGCAAGUCCCCACCGCAGCAGUGCUGUACCUUUCUUGAAAUUUGCUUCUAACGAAGGCUGUGACAUCAAUGUAACCACUGGUAUUUAAGGCCUUGUGUAAUGCAAGGACCUUCCUCAUUUAAAUACAAAACCUAACUUGGGGCCUCUAUCUUUCAUAUCUAAUGUUAAUUGAUUGUGAGUUGAACAGUUGACCCCUUAAAUUCCAAGCCCAAAAAACUAAGGGACAAACCACUUGUUGCCAAGAUAUGCCAUUCAUUCUCCACAUUUCCUUUUCCAGCAAAUUGGUACUGGCAAACACAAAAUAUAUAUAUAUAUAUAUAUAUAUAUAUAUAUAUAUAUAUAUAUAUAGCCUAAAAAUAAUUGAGGACAUUAAAGUUUUUUUAUGACGUUAAGAUAUAUGGAUACUAUAUUUGUAUCCAUGAUCAAUGUAUUUUUUUUUCGUUUUUGUACAAACAAGUUUAGAUCAUGCUAAUUCAUUAUAACCCAGCAAGGAUUUCAAGGAACUUGCAUAUAUAUAUAUAUAUAUAUAUAACUUAUAGCAAAGCUUGGCAUAUGAAUUGCAAUCAACUUUACUUGUGUAUAAGAAUGAUAAACAUGCAUAUAAAAACAUGGAUUAAUCUUUUCUACACUGUCAGCGUUGGAUAAAUGACAACUAUGCAAAAUUUAAAUUUGAAACACAUAUCAUGAAUCAAACGAUGAUAGUGUAUACACUGUCAGUGUAUAUAAGAUUUACUUUAUAAGUAUAUGUAUGUGUAUAUAAAUACUACUCUAUCGGAUUGAUAAACAUAUAAAUCGAUAAAGGCUUGACUAAUACCGAUAGAGAUUUUUAAUUUCGAUUAGCAAAUCGUCAACUUGGUCCCCAAGUAAUUAUCAAACCUCUGCAUAGAAUUUUACUUUCAAACCCCAAACUUUUCUCUGUAUGCGCCAAUUAGCUAUUAGUUUAUCUUCAUGGAAGUCUACACUACUGGAUAGUGUAAUCUGGCAAAAGUCAAAAGAGUGAGAUGGGAAGAAAAAGCUACUUCCUAUAAUUUUCAAACGAUUUUACUUUACUAGGGAAACGACGGGAAGCAAUUGGCAUGCCAUAAAGAAUAUUUUGUGCUUUGCGAUGAAUUGAAGAAAAUCUACGACGUUAAGAAUGCUCUAAUAGAUUUUCUGUGUUGUCUGUAUGUCAAAUCAUACCCAUUUGACUGUUUGGAAUGGGUAAAUUAGUGCUGACAUGAGCAAUAUCACCUCGUCCGCAGGAUUAUUUUAUCCCAUGAACAGGGGAUUAAUUCGAGUAGUUGUAAUGUUUCAUUUCUAUGUAUAAAAUAUAACCCCUACUAAUUCUAUUAAAAAUUUUAACUAAUGUGUUUCCAUUCAUUAUUUAAAAUUUUUUUACUAAUUUACCCCUGUUAAUUUAUAUAAAUUUUUUGAUUAAUUUGCCCCUACUAACAUCAUAAUAAAAGGACUAAAUUGCCCUUGGAUUAAAUUGCCCUUAUUAACCUUUGGAUAGAAGAUUAUUUGGGAUAAUUUUUUGAAAAAAAAAAGUACCGUAGCAUUUUUUUAAUGUGAUGUAUGUAAGAUAAAAAUGUGGUUGAAAUAUAUAUAUUUAUUAUGUAAUCAGACAAAUUUUUGUAAAUAACUAGCUAUCCAAACACGUCUUAUUUUCUCAACCAAAUUCUACAUAAAUACACAAUCCUAUUAGUUGAGUUUUGUGAACGAGGACUUCAAUAAGUUCAAACUCGGCCCAAAGAAAAAUCCCCUAUAUUGGCUUGGCCUCGGCUAGUUCGAAGCUCUUAAAUGGGUUUGAUUUUAAUCGAUUUAACCCUAACAGAGUUAAGGCCUAGCCUAUUAUUUAAUUGAAUUUCAAAUUUAGGUUAAAAAUUUUGGUCAAAAACCUAUUUUAAGGGUCCAAAUGUGCUGAGUUUGAGUGAAUGCAAAUGUUCAAAUAUCAAAAGCCUUGAUUGACUUUAUUAAAAGCAAAUGUUUAUAUCUCCAAUAAUUGAGAACCAAUCAAACACUAAAUAAGUUAAAUUAUUAAUUCGAAAAUGGCUCAAUUAGAAAUUAAUAAUCUGAGAAUAAAUUAUUCUAUGUCGUCCAGUUCUUGUCGAAGUGGCUGAGCUAAAGUAAGAAAGCAUGGUGGUUCCGCACUCAUUUUCUAAAUUGACUGUAUAUCAAAUCAUACCCAUUUGACCGUUUGGCCGGAAAAUGACCCCAAGAGCUGUGCUGGUACGCCAAAAAAUAUUUAAAAAUACAGACGAGAUUACUUCCCUCAGGGAUUUUUUCUUUGGGUCUUUUUCGUGAUUAGUAGCUGGCUCUAUGAUAUCUCUAAAUUUAUUCUGGCAUAGCAGGAUGUACUUUCUUUUUUUUCUUUUUUUUUUUUCGGUUUUAAGCAGCAGGAUCUCUUUUUGCCCUAGUUAGUAAUGGUUUUCUCAGUUCUGCAACUAAAAAAAAAAUAAAUUGAUAAAUAUUUCUAGGCUUCUGUAAUCAUUUGUAGUUUUUUUGUUACAAUGGUUUUCUUAAGAAACAAUUUUUCACCGAAUGGGCAACUUUUAAAAAAAUGUUUUUCAUCCUUUUUAUUCAAGGUCUCGCAUUGCGGGAAUUCAUCUCUCCCUUAUCAAGUACGUUUACUUGAACCAUUUGACAUUUAAAUUCAACGGGAUCAUCAGUGUAUACAAUACCAACACUGAUUCGAAAUUAAUUACUUGAAUUGGGUUCUCAUAAAUUCUCAAUCUCUUCCUUUUGCAUUCUUUAUAAUUGAUGGCCAGUAAGAGCAUUGGGUAUGACGGCAUUAAAAAUCUCCAGAUUUGGCUUUUAAGCUAUGGAUGAAGACUUCCUUCAAAAAAAAAAAAAAAAGAGCUAUCUAUGGAUGUACUUCUCGUACAUAUCAGCCUCUUAGUUGCAAAUUGGCCAAUAUUUCUGUGGUCCACUCCUUAAAUUAAAUUACAACUGAUCAAAUUGUUUAAGCUCAUGAGUCAGCCCUUAGGCUUUGAUGAUCAAAUUGCAGUCUGGAUCAACAUGUUUGGUAUUUGUCAAGACUUUUUUUUUUUUUUUUUUGCUGACGGAGUGGGUGUCCGGAUCAAUUCUUACGGGGCCCGACUAAUCCCAUUCCGACUCGGGAGGAGAGGCCCCAUCCCCCCGAACACGAUAAUCACGGGACUCGGACUCUUGCGGGCACUGGACACCAGCUCCUAAAGGAACUUGCUGAAACCAAUCGAGUUACCCAUGAGGGACAGACAAUUUGGUGGGAGACCUCACACCCCAUCAGGAGAGGUGGUGGCCACUGGCUGGGUUGUAUUUGUCAAGACAUUAGAAGCUUGGUAUCUGUCAAGAGUUGUAUUUGUCAAGACAUUAGAAGCUUGGUAUAUAUAUGAUCACUGUUGCAUCCCAUCCCACGUCCCUCCCGACCUCGACUUCGGCCUCCCUAUCAUAACAGCUGGCAUACACCAUCUGCACCCUCAAAUGGGUUGUCGUAACUGUACGAAGAGGGAAGAGGAGGAAAAUAAACACGCACGCACUCAAAAUUCUUUUGCACAUAUAAAAAAAACAUAGAAAGAGGAGAAUAAUUAAAACACAAAAAUAGCUCAAUAAUUUUAUUAAUUCAAAUUUCGAUAAUAAUAAUAAUAAUAAUAUCAAGUUGUAACUUUUUGUUUACGACAACUCAUAAUUUACAAAUCUCAACUUAGAGACUUUUUCUUGACUCAACUAUUCAAGAUUCAACUCAAACUCUCCAAAACUCAGACUCAUUCUUCAAGGAAGAGGAAAAGUGUACUACACCAAUAGUAUUUAUAGAUUGCGAACCUUUCUAAACAGACAGAGACAGAAUUGUAGAUUGAAAUUUAUUUGAAAAUUGAUUUGAAAUUUCCUAAACUAAUAUGAAAACUAAACAAACAGGACACCAAAACAAGAAAUAAAAGAAUUAAGAAACUAAAUACUAAAAUAGCUUGGUUUUGGCUUAAUUUCCUUCACGAAUGCUAGUCAUUAAUCCUCUCUUUAAAACCUAUCAAUACCCCUCAUGCUCCAUUCGUUCAAGGUAAUAAACAACUCCAAACUUUUUCGCUCUAAAAUUGUGAACAGCUGUUACUAAUUUAAGCAUCGGAUUUAAUCCGAGCGAACAGAUUCACGGCCCUGUAUUUGUGUUUGCAGGCCCUUCGUCGGAGGUUCCUCACGUAUCCAAUCCAUUCUGCUCGGUACCGACACUUGCGGAUUCCUACUACUUUAAUCACCAAGUCACCAUUAUCCUUUGUUCUGAUCACCACAAUUAGGGAACCCUUUGCUGAAACAUAGGUGAAAUUCCAGUUAAUAUUAACAGGGACUUGACAUUACAAAUCAAGCAUAAAUCUUGGCAGGAACUUGUCACUCUGACAAAAUAGUGACGUGAAAUAUGGUGCAUUCUGAUUCCAAAGACAAAGUCGUAAGCAUUCCGUACAGGCCUUUUGGAUUCCAUCUAGUUUUCUAGUCAUUUUGUUCUUUCAAAAUCACACUUAAUUACGAUUGUUUUAAGUUGUGGGCCGGAUAAUGUGUGUGUAUAGCGACUUAAGUGCUGAACAAAAAAACAGAAAAAGAAAAGGGAAUUCUAUAGAUUGUGGUAUAGAGAAGAACGCGCGGUACAAAGCGGGUCCGCUUUCCUGUGUAGGAGCCGGCGUCGCGGGGAAUUUUUUUUUUUUUAUUCUUGUUUUUGUUCGUCUAUUUUGGAAGUAGGGUGUGGAGUCACUUUCUUCUUUUACCAGGAAUCGUAUAGCAGUGAAUGUGGAGCCAUGCAAAAUUGAACGUUCGUCCACGUCAAUCGGUUUCUAUCUCUCAACAUGAAAAGACAAGCUUUGCAAGUGCAUGAAAAUGUGGGUCUAAGAACCAGUGUGUGAGUGUGUGUUUGGUAGGUAGAUCACUAAGAGAUGUUCUCAGUUUCUCUUGAGCAGUGGCAAAUGAUUGUUUGUAAGGAUACUAAAAUUGAUUCCCUUCCUUAGGCACCAAUAAUGUUAGGUUGAAGGGCAGGAAAUGAGAGGAAAGGAUACCAAUACCACUCAGCUAACUGUCCGAUUCUGAUGCCAACAAAGGAACUGAACUGCCAUGUUUUUCUUAACAAUUUCACACGCGACUUGAAACCUGUCAAAAAUCUGUGUUAAGAGACGUGGCAGUCAACAGAGCUCCUCCUCUUGAGUUAUUGAAAUCUUAGCUUUCGUGCACGUCGCACAUGAACUUUGUGGCUGUUCUGAAUCUUGCAUGCGCGAAGCCCCCCCCGCGAAAACAACAACUCCUCCUUUCUCUCCACAUAUUUUUUUGGGUUAGAUCACACCUAUUUGAAUUACUGUUUUUCGAAGUUUUUAUAGAAAAAUAUACUAUAAUAAUUUGAUAUAUAAAAGAUUAAAAAAAAAUUUUUGAAAGAAGUGUUCACGAAAAACGUAAAACGUACAAAAUUUUUACACAAAAAUUGCAAUCCAAACAAGGCCAAUGUUUGUAUAGACGGGCUUCAUUUUCGGGGUCUAGGUCUAGCUAAAAGGACGUAGCAAAAUAUGAGCAAAGAGCCGCGUACAGCGGUUCUUCUUUUUGAUUUACUGCAAUCUUAAGUUUCAUGCAUUACAUGAUCCAUUGACGUCGACCAUGUACUUGUCGCCCUCCUCCUUUCUCUCCACAUCUCCAUGCAUGGGACAUAUUAGAUAUUCAAAUAUUUUCAUCAAUUAAUUUGAUGACAAGCUUGCCUGAAGGCUUUGAACUCACUAACCGUUUCAGACAGCAAGCUCAUUUUUGUGUAGUUGUGCGUGUCUAAGCUUUGUAGAAGACAAGAAGAAAGUAAUGAUUGCAAUCAGAAAAUGCUGAAGUAGAAACUUGACAUGCCUGUUUGUAUAUUUUUUGGACGAGAAGAUUUACUCAGUUUGAUCCAAAUCUUGAGCCACAUAUCUUUGGAGUACUAAAGUUAACUCACAAUCACUUACACAAUGGGUAAGCAACUCAUUUCUAUCCAAUUUAUUCUUACAAAGUGUUUGGAUUGCUAAAUUAUCCCAAAUAAUAUUUCGCUUGUAUCGUAAACACAUUUCCCAAUUCAUCUUUUUAUAUUUCCAACUACUUUUUAUCUCACACACAUCAUAUUACAAAAAGUAUUACAAUAAUUAUUUCAAAAAAUACUCUAUCCAAACACUAGUCAUUAUUUCCGAAAAAAAAAAAAUUACACUCAUCUAAGACUUGUGGAGUCAGAUAAAAGAUUUCUUGAAAAAUAAAAAUAUAAUAACACUUUUUGUGAUAUGACUUGACAGAUUGAAGACGCGUACUCU
rnacentral:lncRNA from 1 species